rnacentral:rRNA from 1 species
AAAACAUGUCUAUAUGAUGGUUAUAUAAAGUCUGGCCUGCCCACUGAUUUAGGUUAAAGGGCCGCGGUAUCUUGACCGUGCGAAGGUAGCAUAAUCAUUAGUCUUUUAAUUGAAGGCUUGUAUGAAUGGUUGAACAAAAAAUAAGCUGUCUCGGUUAUAAAGAUUGAAUUUAACUUUUAAGUGAAAAGGCUUAAAUAAAAUGGGAUGACGAUAAGACCCUAUAAAGCUUUACAAUUAUUUAGUUAAAUUAUAAAUUAUUGGUAUAAACUUAAUUUAAUUAAUGUUUGUUUCGUUGGGGCGACGAGAAUAUAAUUUUGUAACUGUUUUAUAAUUUUGUUACAAUAAUUUUUGGUAAAAAUGAUCCUUUAUUAAAGAUUAAGAGAUUAAGUUACUUUAGGGAUAACAGCGUAAUCUUCUUUGAAAGUUCAUAUCGACAAGAAGGGUUGCGACCUCGAUGUUGAAUUAAGGUUUCUUUGUGGUGCAGUAGUUACAGUGAGAAGGUCUGUUCGACCUUUAAUUCCUUACAUGAUCUGAGUC